rnacentral:lncRNA from 10 species
GCCGAGAGCCAGCGAGGGGAUGCCAGCAAGCUGUCACCUCUCAGAAAUACAGGAAGAACAUCAAUAAUGUUCGAAGUUAUAAAGUGCGGAGGCCAGAAGUCAGAAAACAAGGUGUCUGCAGGACCAACCUCUCCUCUGGAUGCUCUAGGGCGUUUUAUCACAAGAACAUGACCUUUAAGCACAAGAACACCUUGUAUUCCACCAUGAGGAUAGCCCCAGCACCAGAGCUCUGUGGUGGAUCUUCCCUCUUAGAUGGAAUCCCUAAACACAAUGGGAUGAUUUGAUCCUAAGGUGACAGGGGCCAAGAGGAGGCACUUAACCACCAAAGACAAGGAGAGGAAGAGGAGCGACUGAAGAAGAAAGAGGGUGGAGGUGAAGAUGUGGAGCUCAUAUUGAAUCUUUGGAAAAGUGAAAAUGGCUUUUAGUAUCCAGUAAGAAGAGUAAAUAGAAGAAUUUUAGCCACAAAUGGAAAAGAAAACGUCUCUUCCUCAGCUCAAAGAGACAAGCUCUUGUCAGUUCCUGUAAAAUUUAAUGCUGGUGGGCCUGG